GUGGGUAGAUGGCAGGUUGAAUAAAGAGAAGCUAGUGAUGUGGGGUUCUCUCAUAACCCUCAGUCCCCAGGUGGGUAGAUGGCAGGUUGAAUAAAGAGAAGCUAGUGAUGUGGGGGUUCUCUCAUAACCCUCAGUCCCCAGGUGGGUAGAUGGCAGGUUGAAUAAAGAGAAGCUAGUGAUGUGGGGGUUCUCUCAUAACCCUCAGUCCCCAGGUGGGUAGAUGGCAGGUUGAAUAAAGAGAAGCUAGUGAUGUGGGGUUCUCUCAUAACCCUCAGUCCCCAGGUGGGUAGAUGGCAGGUUGAAUAAAGAGAAAACAAUAGGCUAC
rnacentral:lncRNA from 1 species